GACGAACGCUGGCGGCGUGCUUAACACAUGCAAGUCGAGCGGUAAGGCCCUUUCGGGGGUACACGAGCGGCGAACGGGUGAGUAACACGUGGGUGACCUGCCCUCAGCUCUGGGAUAAGCCUGGGAAACCGGGUCUAAUACUGGAUAUGACUCCAUGACGCAUGUUGUGGGGUGGAAAGCCUUGUGCGGCUGAGGAUGGGCCCGCGGCCUAUCAGCUUGUUGGUGGGGUGAUGGCCUACCAAGGCGACGACGGGUAGCCGGCCUGAGAGGGCGACCGGCCACACUGGGACUGAGACACGGCCCAGACUCCUACGGGAGGCAGCAGUGGGGAAUCUUGCGCAAUGGGCGAAAGCCUGACGCAGCGACGCCGCGUGAGGGAUGACGGCCUGGUGUAACGUA
rnacentral:rRNA from 1 species